CUCAAAUGCCAAGAUAAAUAUAGAAUUUGAGGUUAUGUUGAAUAAAAAUCACUAUGAAAAUCACAAUCAAUAUGAAAAAAAAUCACGUACUUAUUGGAAUUUUAUAAAUAAAAGUACUAAAUAAUAUUAAAAUAGUGCAAAGAUGAAUUUACUACGAAAAGGAAUUUCGCUGUUAUCUAUUGGAUUAAGAAUCCAAUGCCCUGCUUAUAGUGAGUUAAAGAUUGUCCCGGUGUGAAGCUGAAAUGCGUCCGAGGUAAAUUCGACUUGCCGCACGUCAUCAAACAGAAAGUGUAGUAGUCUGUUAUAUCCAGUUGUGUAAGGUUAUUUGUAGCGAAAUAAGUCUAGUUUAAGUACA